rnacentral:rRNA from 1 species
UGAGAACUAAAGAAGAACACAUGGUCAAGCUACAAANNGAACGCGGAAGAGGCCAAACCAUGAGCAGCAAUGCGCAUGGGGUAAGGACAGCUAAGAAAGGCUGGAAUUCAGCAGAACGGCAUGGAAAGGCCGGCCAGAGAGCGUGAAAGCCGCGUAAGUGAAGGAUGAAAGCCAGGGGCUGUAUCCAGAGUACCGCCGGNNNNNNNNNNNNNNNNNNNNNNNNAGUAGUGGCGAGCGAACGCGGAAGAGGCCAAACCGCAGGUAGCAAUACUUGCGGGGUUCGGACAGCAAUACGCAUGUGAAACCUUAGCUGAAUGGUCUGGGAAGGCCAGUCAAAGAGUGUGAGAGCCACGUAAGUGAAAAGGGGAAACAGCCAGCUGGAUCCAGAGUACCGCCGGACACGAGAAAUCCGGUGGGAAGAUGGGGGGACCACCCUCCAAGCCUAAAUACUACUCAGUGACCGAUAGAGAAUAGUACUGUGAAGGAAAGGUGAAAAGCACCCCGGGAGGGGAGUGAAAUAGAACCUGAAACCUUGUGCUUACAAGCACCGAAAGCCCGUCAAAGGGUGAUCGGGUACCUUUUGUAGAAUGGUCCGGCGAGUAAAUGUAACUGGCAAGGUUAAGGACUUUAGGUCCGGAGCCGUAGCGAGAGCAAGUCUGAAUAGGGCGUAUGAAGUCAGUUGUAUUUGACCCGAAACCGGGUGACCUACCCAUGUCCAGGUUGAAGUGGAGGUAAAACUCCAUGGAGGACCGAACCGACUCCCGUUGAAAUGGUAGCGGAUGAGAUGUGGGUAGCGGAGAAAUUCCAAUCGAACCCGGAGAUAGCUGGUUCUCUCCGAAAUAGCUUUAGGGCUAGCCUUGUAUUAGAUUACCGGAGGUAAAGCACUGAAUGGUUAAGGGACCGAAAGGUUACCAAGACCUAUCAAACUCUGAAUGCCGGAUAAUUGAUGUACAGGAGUCAGACGGCGGGAGAUAAGUUUCGUCGUCAAAAGGGAAACAGCCCAGACCCACAGCUAAGGUCCCAAAACACGGUUAAGUGGAAAAGGAUGUGGGGUUGCACAGACAACCAGGAUGUUGGCUCAGAAGCAGCCAUACAUUAAAAGAGUGCGUAAUAGCUCACUGGUCGAGUGACCCUGCGCCGAAAAUUUAACGGGGCUAAAUCGUGUACCGAAGCUUGGGAUGCAGCAAUGCAUGGUAGGAGAGCGUUCUGUACGGGGCGAAAUGAGAGCGAAAGCGCUUGUGGACUGUACAGAAGUGAGAAUGCCGGAAUGAGUAGCGAGAAAUGUGUGAGAAUCAUAUUGGCCGAAAAUCUAAGGUUUCUGGAGGAAGGUUCGUCCGCUCCAGGUAAGCCGGGAGCUAAGGCGAGGCCGAAAGGCGUAGUCGAUGCACAUACGGUGGAUAAUCCGUAGCCGCCAAAAGAUUUAAGAUAAGUGACACCUGAGAAGUCUAUAACCCGGGCGAUGGUUGCCCCGGGCGUAAGGGACCGAAAUUAGAGUAGGGAAGUAUAGAUGGAACAGGGCAAGAAAAGCUUAUUGGUAUAUCUGAGGCGCCCGUACCGCAAACCGACACAGGUAGAUAGGAAGAGAAUUCUAAGGCCAACGGGAGAAGGGUAGUUAAGGAACUCGGCAAAUUGGCCCCGUAACUUCGGAAUAAGGGGCGCCCACGCAAGUGGGCCGCAGUGAAAAGGCUCAGGCGACUGUUUAUCAAAAACACAGGUUUCUGCAAAAUCGAAAGAUGACGUAUAGGAGCUGACACCUGCCCGGUGCUGGAAGGUUAAGAGGAGAUGUGCAAGCAUUGAAUUGAAGCCCCAGUAAACGGCGGCCGUAACUAUAACGGUCCUAAGGUAGCGAAAUUCCUUGUCGGGUAAGUUCCGACCCGCACGAAAGGUGUAACGAUCUGAGCACUGUCUCAAUUACCCGCCCGGCGAAAUUGUAGUACCGGUGAAGAUGCCGGUUACCCGCGACAAGACGGAAAGACCCCAUGGAGCUUUACUGUAGUUUAAUAUUGGAUUUCGGUAAUUUAUGUACAGGAUAGGUGGGAGACACGGAAACUUGCGCGCCAGCGUGAGCGAAGUCGUCCUUGGGAUACCACCCUUAAGUUGCUGAAAUUCUAACCUGCGGCCGUAUAUCCGGCCGGGGGACAAUGUUAGACGGGCAGUUUGACUGGGGCGGUCGCCUCCUAAAAGGUAACGGAGGCGCUCAAAGGUUGGCUCGGCACGGAUGGAAACCGUGCAAGAGAGUGUAAACGCACAAGCCAGCCUGACUGCGAGGAUGACAGUCCGAGCAGGAACGAAAGUUGGAGUUAGUGAUCCGGCGGUAUGAAAGUGGAAUUGCCGUCGCUUAACGGAUAAAAGCUACCCUGGGGAUAACAGGCUGAUCUCCCCNNNNNCGAGAGGACCGGGAUGGACGCACCGCUGGCGCACCAGUUGUCAUGCCAAUGGCAUAGCUGGGCAACUAUGUGCGGAUCGGAUAAACGCUGAAGGCAUCUAAGCGUGAAGCCGACUCCAAGAUAAGAUAUCCCAUUGCGUAAGCAAGUAAGACCCCUUGAAGACUACAAGGUUGAUAGGCUGCAUGUAUAAGCACGGUAACGUGUUCAGCUUGGCAGUACUAAUAGGUCGAGGGCUUGACCA